UUGAUACUAGGUAGCACUUGGUUGUAUCAUUUUUUUUAAAAAAAAAUAGGUCUUAAUUUAUUUAUUUUUUUGAAGAGGAAAAACAUUUUUUGUAAAAGACAAAAACACUUAAUUUUAUAUAUGCACUAUCCUUUUUUUUUUUAUCAAUAUUUUUAUUAAAAUUGAGUAAUCCACCCACAGACCCAUAGUCACAGCCUCACAACUUUAUUCAUCCCUCUUAUUUCUCCAUCCCCCAAGCUUUUAUUUUUGCGUUCGAUGUCUUCUUUUUCAUUCCUCCUCUCAUUCGCUCAAUCAGCCAUUCUUUCUUCUCUCUCCCUCUUCCUCCCUCCUUCCCUCUCUUCUCAAAGAUGAAAGAGCAGCCGCAGAAGAUCACAUCCACAAAAAAAAAAAAAAAAUGGCGGAAUAUCACGAACUAGAGGAUAGAUAAGUUGGAAUAGUGGUGGUGUUCGAUACUCCGAUUUCAAGUUCAAUUUCGCCUAUCAAACCCUAAUUAAUCUCAUGAAACUACAACAUUCUCAGAAAAAUUAAUUGAAGGAGAGAGCAUCUCAAUAGCAACUUCCACUCCAUCUUUCAAUCAACUGCAAAUCCACCUAUUUCUAGUUCUCUCCGAAAGCCUUUUGUCAGACCAAAAAUGAAAGAAAACCACCUGUAAGUAUGACAAAGAGAGUGACAUAGGCUGCUACUGGUGCAAUGAAGGCUUUCUUUUUCUUUUGUGCUCGAGCAAAGAGCUAGGUUACGCUCGACAGUCCACACUUUAAUUGCAAGGGUAUGUAACGAAGUUGGUUUACUUUACUGAUUUGCUCCAAUUGAACCCAAAGUAAUAUUGGAAGGUGAGGCAAAUUUUAGAAUGAUUAGAGGAAAGGGUUGCUGUAAGCUGUAAUCUUGUAUAUUCUUCCAACUUAUAAGAUGUAAUGUUAAGUUGUUUACUUAUAGAAGAUUUCUUUAUAGCAAGUAUAUGUACUUAGGUUUUGAUGCUUACUUGAUGCUACUACUACUACUGUUGCAUGUUGCUGCUGUUCUGCAUAUGUGCUGCCAUUCUGCAUAUGCUGCUGCUGUUCUGUUACUGUUGUUGCUGCUCUACAUAGGUGCUGCUGUUGUUCUGCUACUGCUUGUGCUGUUCUUAUGUGCUGCUACUGUUCGGUUUCCGAGCUGUUGUUGUUCUCCUUCUGAGCUGCCGCUGUUCUAUUUCCAAGCUGCUGUUGGCCUGUUGUUUGGUUCAUUGUAUUUUUUUUUUUUGAUGAAAUUGUAAUAUUACAAGCAUUUAUUAUUCAUAAUAUAUAAGUUUAUAUACAUAUACAUAUAUACAAUGGCUUGUUUAUCAAUUUCACAUUUUUGUAGGCAUAAAAGGCACAGUGGCACUUAUUUAUGUUAGGGGCAACGAUUUGGCACUUGAAC